rnacentral:lncRNA from 1 species
AGUCUGCAUCUGGUGAGUAAUGUGGGUGUAAGGAAUCGACACCCUUGCGUCUAAUCCAGACAUCUCUAAAAGACCACCCCGGUUUCAAUGCUCCUCAUGAGACCAGAUGAAGCCAUCAUUAUUAACUCCUUAAUUUGUCCAAUACUGCUUCACUUAUUUCCUCAUGGGGUUGCCUCUGAGAGCAAGCCCCGGUAAACUUCUUCCUUAUACAUCUUAAUCUCAAAGUCUGAUUCCUAGAAACCCAAGAGAUUUUGAUUUGAAUUUAAAUAACAGGCGGAGUUUGAAAGAAUAAAGAGAUGGAGGGAACGCAUCAUAACCUGGUAUGACCUGGAUCAACAUAAACAAAGGGGUUUAGAUAGCUCAUGGUUCUGCUGGUUAGGAAGUUCAAGCGCAAGGCCCUGACUUCUGGUAAGUGCUUUCAUGCUGCAUCAACACGACUAAGAAGGUCAAAGAAGAAGUGGACAUGACUCUGGGACCUAACAUGAAAAAGAGGCUGCUAUAUCAGAUAUUCGUUUCUAGUUGAAUAGGGAAAAGAGCAAGAGAGCAGGCAGAAAAUACACAAUGCUUCAACACUAUUAUGUACAGACAAGGUGUACAUAAUGUCCAUCCACACACCAUUGGCCAAAGCAAGUCUCUUGGAUAAACAAAAUGUCAAUGAGGCAACCGUGUAUGCUCACCCACAGGAGAAGCUGCAAAUGACAUGACAACUUGACUUACAUAGGAAUGAAGGGCAGAGUAAUACUUGGGAACAGUAUUUCAAUCUGUGGAUACAGAGAGAGAGAUCUGAACAUGUGACUACCAAAAAGGUACAGGGAUUAGUUCUGGAUGGAAUAAACAUGAUUAUUUAUUUGUUAUUUGUUGCUAUAUUAUUUAUAUUUUUCUAAAGUCCUGUGAACUUUUUUACAAUUAAGAAAAAUAAAAAUAGUAUUUUGGAAGAAUAUAAAAUGUAAGCCAAGGGUUAGAGAUUUUUCAGAUCUGCUUUACAGACAAGAAAAAUAAAUCAGAGAGAUUGUGACUUUUUAGCUAUAAGUAGUACUUAUGCGUACUGCAUUUUGUUUCUAAAACAUUUAAAAUAUAGUUUUACAUUUAAUCAUGUAUCAAUCCUUGGUGAGAAUUGUUAUAUUUAAUAAAAACUU